rnacentral:rRNA from 1 species
UAAUACGGAGGGUGCAAGCGUUAUCCGGAAUCAUUGGGUUUAAAGGGUCCGCAGGCGGGCUUAUAAGUCAGUGGUGAAAGCCUACAGCUCAACUGUAGAACUGCCAUUGAUACUGUAAGUCUUGAAUUCGGUCGAAGUGGGCGGAAUAUGACAUGUAGCGGUGAAAUGCUUAGAUAUGUCAUAGAACACCGAUAGCGAAGGCAGCUCACUAGGCCUGGAUUGACGCUCAGGGACGAAAGCGUGGGGAUCAAACAGGAUUAGAUACCCUGGUAGUCCACGCCGUAAACUAUGAUUACUCGUUUUCGGCACUUAAGUGUGUCGGAGACCAAGCGAAAGUGAUAAGUAAUCCACCUGGGGAGUACGAUCGCAAGGUUGAAACUCAAAGGAAUUGACGG